rnacentral:rRNA from 1 species
AGUGAACGCUGGCGGCAGGCCUAACACAUGCAAGUCGAGCGGCAGCGGGUCCUUCGGGAUGCCGGCGAGCGGCGGACGGGUGAGGAAUGCGUCGGAAUCUGCCUUUUUGUGGGGGAUAACGUAGGGAAACUUACGCUAAUACCGCAUACGACCUACGGGUGAAAGUGGGGGACCGCAAGGCCUCACGCAGAAAGAUGAGCCGACGUCGGAUUAGCUAGUUGGCGGGGUAAAGGCCCACCAAGGCGACGAUCCGUAGCUGGUCUGAGAGGAUGAUCAGCCACACUGGAACUGAGACACGGUCCAGACUCCUACGGGAGGCAGCAGUGGGGAAUAUUGGACAAUGGGCGCAAGCCUGAUCCAGCCAUGCCGCGUGUGUGAAGAAGGCCUUCGGGUUGUAAAGCACUUUUGUCCGGAAAGAAAUCCUGUCGGCUAAUACCCGGCGGGGAUGACGGUACCGGAAGAAUAAGCACCGGCUAACGUCG